rnacentral:lncRNA from 1 species
CCUCCCUCUCCAAGUUCUCGACCUGAGCUCGGUGGGAGUCGCGGAGAGAUUCGAGCUGAGCCUCAUACAUAGCCUUCUGCCUUUGCAGAUCCUCCUUGACCUUGGUAAGCUCCUCCUCGAGGGAAAUGGCUUUUGCUUGAGCAAGUGAUUCUUGCUCUAUCAGCUUCAGAUUCUCGAGAUUCAGCUCCCCUGCUUUCUUCUCGGCAACGUCAGCUCUGGUCGUCGCCGAUUGAAU